AGGACGAACGCUGGCGGCGUGCCUAAUACAUGCAAGUCGAACGGUCUUUCUAUGGAAGCUUGCUUCCACUGAGAAGAUAGUGGCGAACGGGUGAGUAACACGGUGGGUAACCUGCCCAUAAGAGGGGGAUAACAUCCGGAAACGGGUGCUAAUACCGCAUAGUUUUUCUUGAUCGCAUGAUCGAGAAAGGAAAGACGGCCUUUGUGCUGUCGCUUAUGGAUGGACCCGCGGCGUAUUAGUUAGUUGGUGAGGUAACGGCUCACCAAGACGAUGAUACGUAGCCGACCUGAGAGGGUGAUCGGCCACAUUGGGACUGAGACACGGCCCAAACUCCUACGGGAGGCAGCAGUAGGGAAUCUUCCGCAAUGGACGAAAGUCUGACGGAGCAACGCCGCGUGAGUGAAGGUAAAGGGUUUUCGGAUCGUAAAACUCUGUUGUCAGAGAAGAACAAGUUGGAGAGUAACUGCUCCAGCCUUGACGGUAUCUGACCAGAAAGCCACGGCUAACUACGUGCCAGCAGCCGC
rnacentral:rRNA from 1 species